rnacentral:rRNA from 1 species
CACAUGCAAGUCGAACGCGCAGCAUUCUGUAGCAAUACAGGUGUGGGCGCGUGGGCGAACGGGUGCGUAACACGUGGAUAACCUUCCUUCAGGUGGGGAAUAACCCAGUGAAAACUGGGCUAAUACCGCAUAACAUGACGAUGGCACAUGCUGUUGUCUUCAAAGGCGCAAGUCGCCAGAAGAGGGAUCCGCGGCCGAUUAGCUUGUUGGCGAGGUAAUGGCUCACCAAGGCAUGAUCCGGUAGCCGGACUGAGAGGUUGGCCGGCCACACUGGAACUGAACACGGCCAGACUCCUACGGGAGGCAGCAGUGGGGAAUCUUGCACAUGGACGAAAGUCUGAUGCAGCAACGCCGCGUGGGGGAUGAAGCUUUUCGGAGUGUAAACCCCUUUCGACCCGGAAGAAUGCCCGCAAGGGUUUGACGGUACGGGUAUAAGAAGCCCCGGCUAACUACGUGCCAGCAGCCGCGGUAAUACGUAGGGGGCCAGCGUUGCUCGGAAUUACUGGGCGUAAAGGGUUCGUAGCGGUGCGGCAAGUCGGGAA